rnacentral:tRNA from 1 species
CUAAAAGUUCUACCAGCA